UAGCCGUAGAGUUAUUAUUUAUAAGGAAAUCCAUACGUUUCUUGUGAAUAAAUUGCAGUCAUGGGUAGUUUUCAGUCCGCUUUACACGAGCGAGUCGAGUUGUGUCAAGUCGAGACGAUUCGUCAUGCGUCAUCGCCGAGGUAUUUUAACAUUAAUUUGUAUGGAUCUCUUUAAAAAAAACAAUUUUCACCAAAUGAGUUGAUCGAUUUCUCUACAUAAGUCGCAGUGAGUCCGUCAUGGUAUGAGCAUCAUGCAAGUAGAGUACCUAAUCAACUCGGAUUGAGAGGGCCCUGCUAUAUGAAAUGUCAGUUUCUGCAGCCACCGGGAUCAUGUCAUAGCUGCUCAGUAGAAGGAGAUUGCUGCUGCAUUGAAGUAUACAGAAGCUGAAUGUAAAGACAAAUGGUGUCAACUAAGAAACAACUUCAUGAGGAAAAAGAGAAAGUGUAAUGCCAAUCCAUUUGCUUUGCUUAUACCAAUGCCCAGAGGUGAAUGUAUAACACUGUCAUGCAAUUUCUGAUCUCUCAUCAUCAUAAUCAUAAUCAUUAAAGAUCUCCACACCUCCUAAUGGAAACACUUGUCAAGAAAGGGAAGAUGCACCUCAAAAUUAUUCACCUCCUAUCAUCGAAGCUGCAAGUGAUGUUGAAACGAGUGAGGACUACAAUACUCUGAAGCCUUUUCUUCCCAUAUCAAAGAAGCCUAGUGUAAAAAAAAUGCAACAGGGACACUGAAGACAAGAUGGAUGUGUAUUUCCUAGGCAGACUAAAAUAACUGAGAACAGGAAAAUGGCCCAAAUAAGAAAUGAAAUGAAAUUGUGAUAUUUUGAACUCAUCAAGUAUUCCUCAUCAUAUGGAUAAAUAACUGAAAUUGGAUCCAAUUUGGUUAUUUGUCUGUCCGAUGAGGAUUUAAUUUCAAUUUCUUACUGUCCCUGUUUUCCAAUUCAUCUUCAUCCGUAAUGUUACUGUGUUUGUGUUUAAUUGACACCAAACAUCACAAAAUGAUAAUGACCUAGAUCACCAGUUUCUGAUAAGCCUACUGCCCAUGAUGAAACAACUGUUGCCAAUUGACAACACAGACAUCAAAAUUGAAAGAUAUGAAACCAUUCAUAGGAAGAUGUUAAACCCAUCCCCUCUGUCCAGUAUGGUUUCUGACCUGAAAAGAAUCAGUUACAUACACCAUACCCAUGCAGUGUAAAUGACAGUUACUCAGAGUGUACUAAACUCUGAGAAGUAACUUAGAAUUUAAUGUUUCCUUGCUUAUGAGUUGUAACAUGCAGUCACCAGCAAAAGGUAUGAAUUGUCUUUUUGUUUUAUUAAUUAGAUAUUGCCCAACACAUAAGUCUAUUUGUAAUUAUUUUUGGCAUUUUUAAGAAAAUACUUAUUACCUUUAAAAAAUGGCCACUCUUUUUUUAACUCCAACUGUAUGGCUGUAGCUAGUAUUAAUUUUCUUCAUAUGAAACCAGGAAAGUCCAUCAGCUUCAUAACAUUUUCAGUUAACAUCCCAAAGAAGUUGCAGAAAUUGUCUGGAUCGUUCAGCAAGCCUAGAAAUAAAUCAUUGAAGCAUCCAAAACUGGCCUCUUGGUGUUCAGUUCAUGUAUAAAUAUUUGUGUUUUGUCCAUACGUUGGCAACAAUGAGACACUAACAAUCCAGCUACUUCAGCGAUCCUUGCAAUCACGUCACUGAGUACUGACUUGACUCAGGGUUGAUGCAGUGGUGAAUGGUUAAUGGUUAGAAGAAAUUAAUGUGCUUGACAUCAAAAGGCAUAUAGCACUAUGGUAAAGUAUUGUGCAAAACAGGUAAAAAUUAGUUAAUGAUUAGGAUAAGUGGUCAGAAGAAGGAGAUGAAGAAGAGAAGGAGAAGAAAAGAAAGUGUAAAAUUAGUUGAGGCGAGGGUCGAGAUCCAAGGUACGGGUGAUUCCCUACAUGGGGCCUAAGUCUCUUUCUCCUAAGCGCCCCCUGAAUCGCAUCAAAUUAAAGUUAAAUGAAUUGCAUCAAACGUCUCGACUUGACACAACUCACUGGUUUUAAAUGCAACCUUCCUGUUUAUGAUAACUGGAAUUUCUUACAAAAGUUUCUCUGGAUUUGUGCUGUUAGUGGGGAAAUGUGCCAAAGUAAUAUAUCUGUACCAUUGGUAAGUAGCAAACAAAAAUAUUUGACUCUAGGAAGAGAUAUAUAUUAAACUUCUACAGAUUUUUGAUGGGCAUUGGCAAGAUAAUGCAAUUAGGUUUUACAUGUAUUGUAUCAAGAUAAUGCAAAUAAAUGUUAUGUACAACUAUUCAUUGAGAACAAGAUAGUAGUUUAAGUUUCUGAAUUGCCUUUUUGUUGAUAUUUGGUAACUGACCAAAAUAAACACCAUGACUUCCAUAUUUUGGCCUUGACAAGGGAAGAGUCAGGCACUUCCUGUGCCUGACUCCUCCCCUUCCACUGUAUUUUGCCUGGCAGACAUUUUCCAAUAUGUGUUUUUGUGCAAGUGGGCCCUGUAUAUAUUUAAAUUUAAGCACAUAGCAAAGUCAAAUGUUGUUUGAUCUGAUCUUGUAUUACUAUUAACAAUCCUUUGCUCAGUGUUGUUAUGGGGGCCUUAGGACACUGAGGCCCAUUGUAGGGAAUCACCCCUGACUUGGACCUCAGCCCUCACCUCAGCUAAGUUUGCAUGGUCUUUUCUUCUCACUCUUUCUUUUUUCCCCUCUUCUUCUUCCCCUACUUCUUCCCACUUAUCCAAAUCAUUAACAAAUUUUUCCCCCUUUUGCAACAAUACUUUAUCAUAAUGUUAUAUGACCUUUGAUGUCUGGCAUAUCUAUUUGUUUUGACCAAUAACCAUAUCCAGGGGCUUUACCACUAAGCCUCAUCCUAUCACCAUAUUUUGAAUAUGCUGCUUAGAUGACCUUAGAUUUUGAUGCGGCAGAAAAUUUUCAGUAAAUAAAUAAAUAAAUAUUAUUAUUUACUUCUCAUAACCUUAGAUAUGAAAGUUAUUAAACUACUUAUUUUUCAGUAAUGAGAGCCUCUUGGUCAGCCUAAUGCAACAAAUUUCUUACUAGACUGGAGGUCACCCCAUGACUUCAAAUUAUUGUAAUUCAUACACUUCAACACCAAAUUAUGUGUAGGAAAAUGUCCACUUGGAAAAAAAAAAAAAAAAAAAACAGUAGGCAAAAGU
rnacentral:lncRNA from 1 species